rnacentral:tRNA from 1 species
GUGCCCGUAGCUCAGUAGGAUAGAGCAACGGAUUUCUAAUCCGUAGGUCGCUGGUUCGAAUCCAGCCGGGCACACCA